GCCACCGAAUUGCAAUGAGCCGAAUUUACACCACUUAGUGAGGACCAAUUGGAGGGCAAGUCUGGUGCCAGCAGCCGCGGUAAUUCCAGCUCCAAUAGCGUACAUUAAAGUUGUUGCAGUUAAAAAGCUCGUAGUUGGAUUUCUGGCGGGGACCCAAGUACCCCUGGUGGGUGUGCGCGGGCCCGGCCAUCCUUCUGUCAACUUUCGCGCGUCCUUCACCGGUCGGCAAAGGGAUCAGAUAAUUUACCUUGAGAAAAUUAGAGUGUUUCAGGCAGGCUUAGCCGGAAUACAUUAGCAUGGAAUAAUGGAAUAGGACUGAGGUCUCGUUGUUGGUUACGCGGACUCCAGUAAUGAUUAAUAGGGAUAGUUGGGGGCAUUAGUAUUUAAUUGUCAGAGGUGAAAUUCUCAGAUUAACUAAAGACUAACUUAUGCGAAAGCAUUUGCCAAGGAUGUUUUCAUUAAUCAAGAACGAAAGUAUGGGGAUCGAAGAUGAUUAGAUACCAUCGUAGUCUAUACCAUAAACUAUGCCGACUCAGGAUGGGCAAGCGUUUACAUGACCUUGUCUGCACU
rnacentral:rRNA from 1 species